UGAACACCAAUUUGUAAGUCGCUCUGGAUAAGAGCGUCUGCUAAAUGACUUAAA
rfam:Salmo salar isolate Sally breed double haploid chromosome ssa09, whole genome shotgun sequence.